UGGAAAUAUUAAGUUGCUCUGCUUUUGGAAGUUGCUUCUACAGUGGAAGGCCAAUGGGGAUUGUAUUUUUAUGGCCUCAUUUUGAAAUGGGCAGUAUAGGGAAAGAGCAAUUGGCCAAGAUGGUGGUGGUCAGGUUCCCUCACCCCAACGGCUUCUUGCUCUUGCCCUACGUUUUGUGAAUAAUGAUUUUGUAACAGCUGAGAUCAUUUAUAGCACUGCGCAUGCGCGUAACCUAUAUAAGCACCGCCUGACACGUCCUUGCCGCUGCAUCCGCUGGGUCAACCAAGAGAGAAUGUAGCAUGUCUGCUGCUGCCGCCGCCUUGCUGCUGCGAAUAAAGAAUACCUGUAGUUCCUAUGACUCCUUGCAUCUUCUUCCAUCUUCCCAUCUGCUUCCCAGCUCCCGCCUUGCCUACCCUGGGUUCAGCGAACAGCGAGACAGGCAGCUCCUCAGAUGAGCUGAGGCAGUAGUUUACAAAUUUUGUUGAUCAGCAGAAUGUUGGAUGAGAGAAAAGUAUGAACUGCUGUUUUUUCAUAUGAAGUCCUCAGAUCAGCUGCAUCCACACGUUCAGAAGCUUAUUCUAAAACUGCUGUUCUCCAGGCCUCGCCUAGACCUAAAGAAUCAGAAAUUCUGAGAAGUGGUGCUGCAUUUUGGGCAGGACUCUCAGGGGACGUUGAACUUUGAGCAGAGCCCUGAAACACUGAGAGUCUAGGUAAUGAGGCUUCUGCGUUGUUGGAUGAAGAGGGAUUUUGUUAUGUAUAAAGGAACUCUGCAAAGCAGGUUAAGUGGCCUGCUGAAGGUCACCGAAUCAGUUAACAGGUGGUUGUAACAUACAAAACCCAGGGAGUUGAAUAAUAAAUUGAUGUGAAUCUA